ACAACUUUCAACAACGGAUCUCUUGGCUCUCGCAUCGAUGAAGAACGCAGCGAAAUGCGAUAAGUAAUGUGAAUUGCAGAAUUCAGUGAAUCAUCGAAUCUUUGAACGCACCUUGCGCUCCUUGGUAUUCCGAGGAGCAUGCCUGUUUGAGUGURAUUAA
rnacentral:rRNA from 1 species